rnacentral:lncRNA from 1 species
GGCACCAUGAAAAAAGAUAGAGAAAUUGAAGCACAACACAUACACAAAUUAAAAAUAUCAAUAUAUUUAUUAUAUAGAAGAGUGUAGGAUACGUAUGCAUUACAAUAAACAAAUACCAAUAUUAUUGGUGCAACAUAAUAUCAUUCAUAUCAAUUUGAGUAUAGACAACACAACUGUGGAGAAAAUCUUGUGAAUGAUAUUACAUUUUUCAAUCUGUCAAUGUAAACUACAGGUAUUGCUAAGUAAAAUCUUCUUCGCUGCUUGAUCCAACCGAAGAAUUCAGCUGCAACUCAAUUAUCCUUCUUUUCAAUCUGUAAAAGAAAAUUGAACCUUACAGAUAUGUGAUUAAAUGUAUACAAAUAUAAAUUCGAAAUAUGAAAGAAAAAAUACUUUAACUUACAAAAGCUCAAGGCCAUAUAAUUAAGUAUCCUGAAGCAAAGGCGUCGCCAAUUCUCUACAAUCCAAAACUUCCCUUGCUAACUCCUCAUUAUCCAGAAUAGGUUCAUCCAUGGCAAAGUUAUAAAGAAUAUAAACAUUCUAUAGGAACUAUCAAUGAGCGCGUCCAUAUGACUACAUAAACAUAUACCUGGAAACUAGUAGCCAGCAUUACAAUGCCUUUAAGCAACAUGGAACUGUUAUUCAUAAACCCUUGAGGCAUCGACACUAACUGAGCUCCCCGCAAACAUUCUGUAAGAGUAGAAUGAUAAAUAACAUGAGAUAGAAAUAGAUGUACAGCCACAUGCUACAAACUAUAAGCAUGCAGUAUAACCAAAUAUUCAACAGAUUUGGAAUUUAAUGUAUAACCUAUUUUGCACAUAAUGUAAGGACAUGUACUUGGUAAAAGUUCAUGGUAUCUUACAUUUACCUAAAUAACAAAGUAACCAGGAUGGGUACUUGGUAAACGGUGAUGCUAUCACCCAUUGGAUUAUAUCAAACUAGCAGAUGAGAUUGAGAUACAAGAAAUAUAAGAAUUAAAAUGGAAAUGAACAGACAAGCUUCUGCUGUAUUUUCAUAUAGUGAUAAUUGGGAUAUACUACACCAAAAUGAUCGUACAUCUACUGCUGUACGGCCUGCAGAACCCUUACCAGGAAAAGCACUAUGUAUUACACCUAAAUUCCCUGUCAGUAAAGUAGAUAUCAAUAUUGUUGCAUGGCCUGCGGAACCCUUACCAGGAAAAGCACUAUGUAUUAUGCCUAAAGUCCCUGUCAGUAAAGUAGAUAUCCAUAGUGCUCUGCACAAUCUCUGCUAUCCAAUCCAGGACGCCAUCUUCUCCAACAUUGCCUCUGCAUUAAUUCAUGGAAUGACAUGAGCGCAUAAGUAUAUCGAGUAGAAGAGUAAACUCAUCAACAGAACUCAAAGUAAUGAUACAAACUUUCUGAUAGGUAUGCAUGGGCUAGCCUGAAUCUGUGAUACUUGCCUACUUGAAAGAUAUGUGCUAGGCUACGCUGAAUCUGUGAUACUUACUUUCCUGAAAUAUAUGUGCUAGGCUAGACCGAAUCCGUCCCGGAUUAUUAUCACUAGACGAUAUAGAAAGACACAUACAACAUUGAUUUGCGCUAAAAAUCAAUUGCAUGCCCAAUUAAUUUAAUUCUGAAAUUGCUAAUUGGCUGGGAACAACAAGUAGCCAAGCAGCAAUCAUUCAUGGGUAUUGGGUAGAAAGCAGCAGCAGCGCAAGUAUUUAGUCAAGUGAGCAGCCGAACACAAGAUCUGUGAGCCACCCACAGCAGACUCGUUGUAAAUCUGGGGAGAGCUUGCAAAAACUGAGUACAGUACACCUAGUAAAUUUCCACAAGAUUCCAUAAAAGCAUGCACCCACGGUUUGAUGUUCCAAGAGAUGUCACAGUAUUCAGUCAGCUAUCUUCAGGUAAUGACAAUGUCCACCGUAGGCCUUUCAGGAUUUUUACAUUAUUCAAUCGGGUCCUGCUUAACAGGGAUAAGUACUAGUGUUACUAACAGAACAAUAAGUUGAGAAAUGCAUAGCUAGCUCAUGCGUGUGAAUCCUAAUUCUAAGCUGUCUUUCACUGGACAGUCUGGUCAGGUGAGGUGCAUGCAUGUACAUACCCUGAUCAUGAACGACAUGCAGAGAUAGAAACAGGUUUCCACUGGGCGCCGAGAUAGCAUCGACAUUGUAUCUUACACACCCUAAAUUAGCUGCCAUUGUAGUUAGCUGCCAAUAUUCAAAUCAUGUGUUCCUGGUUAGAUAAUCAGGCGCCUGUUUACAGAACAGGAAAUCUUAUAAGUACAGGGC